CAAAAGGCUCUUUUAAGAGCCACUCCAUCUACAAUAAAAGAGCUGU
rfam:Gallus gallus isolate RJF #256 breed Red Jungle fowl, inbred line TCD001 chromosome 1, whole genome shotgun sequence.